CCUACGGGUGGCAGCAGUGGGGAAUCUUGGGCAAUGGGCGCAAGCCUGACCCAGCAACGCCGCGUGAAGGAAGAAGGCUUUCGGGUUGUAAACUUCUUUUGUCAGGGACGAAGCAAGUGACGGUACCUGACGAAUAAGCCACGGCUAACUACGUACCAGCAGCCGCGGUAAUACGUAGGUGGCAAGCGUUAUCCGGAUUUAUUGGGUGUAAAGGGCGUGUAGGCGGGAAUGCAAGUCAGAUGUGAAAACUAUGGGCUCAACCCAUAGCCUGCAUUGGAAACUGUAUUACUUGAGUGCUGGAGAGGCAAUCGGAACUCCGUGUGUAGCGGUGAAAUGCGUAGAUAUACGGAGGAACACCAGUGGCGAAGGCGGAUUGCUGGACAGUAACUGACGCUGAGGCGCGAAAGCGUGGGGAGCAAACAGGAUUAGAUACCCUAGUAGUC
rnacentral:rRNA from 1 species